rnacentral:rRNA from 1 species
GACGAACGCUGGCGGCGUGCUUAACACAUGCAAGUCGAACGGAAAGGCCCUGCUUUUGUGGGGUGCUCGAGUGGCGAACGGGUGAGUAACACGUGAGUAACCUGCCCUUGACUUUGGGAUAACUUCAGGAAACUGGGGCUAAUACCGGAUAGUAUCUCCUGCUGCAUGGUGGGGGUUGGAAAGUUUCGGCGGUUGGGGAUGGACUCGCGGCUUAUCAGCUUGUUGGUGGGGUAGUGGCUUACCAAGGCUUUGACGGGUAGCCGGCCUGAGAGGGUGACCGGCCACAUUGGGACUGAGAUACGGCCCAGACUCCUACGGGAGGCAGCAGUGGGGAAUAUUGCACAAUGGGCGGAAGCCUGAGGCAGCAACGCCGCGUGCGGGAUGACGGCCUUCGGGUUGUAAACCGCUUUCGCCUGUGACGAAGCGUGAGUGACGGUAAUGGGUAAAGAAGCACCGGCUAACUACGUG